rnacentral:tRNA from 1 species
ACCCCACCACCAGCACCCAAAGCUGACAUUCUAAUUAAACUAUUCCCUG